rnacentral:pre_miRNA from 1 species
AUUAUCUGAGGAUCUUGUUAAAAAGCAGAUUUGGGUGCAGAAAUCUAGGAUGGGGCCUGAGGUUCUGUAUUUCUAACAAGCUCUCAAGUGAUUCCAA